UCUUUCUUUGCUGGCGACCGGCGCACGGGUGAGUAACACGUAUCCAGCCUGCCCUUUACUCGGGGAUAGCCUUUCGAAAGAAAGAUUAAUACCCGAUAGCAUAAUGAUUCCGCAUGGUUUCAUUAUUAAAGGAUUCCGGUAAAGGAUGGGGAUGCGUUCCAUUAGGUUGUUGGUGGGGUAACGGCCCACCAAGCCUUCGAUGGAUAGGGGUUCUGAGAGGAAGGUCCCCCACAUUGGAACUGAGACACGGUCCAA
rnacentral:rRNA from 1 species